GGGUAUUAUGGGUAAUCCUCAGAGCCAUGAGGAUCACUGUCGAGGAGUUUCUUUCAUGCCAGAGACUGACUUUACCUCGGUGCCCAUGUGUGAAAUGCAGGUGGAGAAAUAAAGAAAAC